rnacentral:tRNA from 1 species
AAGUUUUUAGCAAACUAAUGCAUAAGAAUUAGAAUCUUAAAAUGUAUCUAUUACUUUUACUAU